GGGACAGGGCCAGCCCCUCCCCAGCCAGCCAUGGGCUGUGGGGGAUGAUGUGAAUCAGGGGAGGAAUCGGCUGUAAUCUCCAUCACACCUGCUGCCCUCCACCUGUCACAGCUCAGUGGGGGAUGGAGAACCCCCCACUGACCCACUGGAGGGUGCUGGGGUAUCCCCAUAUCCUGCCAGCCCCCCAGAGUAGGGCUGGGUCCUGGCUCCUUCCUGCCACGCUGUGGGGAGACCCCAGCUGAGCUGCUUCCCGCAUCCCAGAGCCUGUUCCCUAAUAAUUAAACCGUAAGCUGAUUAGUCAAGGCAAACCUUUAAUUAGCCCUUGAAAUCAUUCAGGAAAAUUACAGCCUCCUUUCUGGGCACCCUGCCCGCCCUCCGCCAGGGUCCAGGGGCGGUACCAGGGAAGAAGCAGAGAAUGGGAGAAGUGGCCUCCUGCCACCGCCAUGAGGUCCUCAGCCAGCAAGGCUAAACCCAGGGUGCACGGCAUCUUGUGGGAGUGGAGGGCACAGACUCCCUGCCACAUCAUGAACUACCCUGGGAAAAACCCCACAAGAGGUGGGCAAGGCGUCGGCUGGAAAAGUAUGAACGAGAAGACAUAAACAAAUGGAGAGACAUACCACGUUCAUGGAUUGGGAGACUCAGUGUCAGGUGUGUGCGCACGAGCACACGUACAUACACUGACAACAUGCUUGUCUAAUAUUUAAAGGGAAUUACAAAAAGUCAAGAAUGGGCUGGAUGCCCAUUACAGUGGCUCAUGCCUGUAAUCCCAGCACUUUGGAAGGCUGAGGCGGGCAGCUGGCUUGAGCUCAGGAGUUUGAGACUAGCCUGGGCAACAUGGUGAAAUCCCAUCUCUAUAAAAAUACAACAACAAAAAAAAGUUUGAGAACAGGAUGGCCAACAUAGUGAAACCCCACCUCUACUAAAAAUAAAAAAAAUUAGCCCAUUAGCCCAGGGUGGUGGCGUGUACCUGCAGUCCCAGCUACUGAGGCUGAGGAAAGAGAAUUGCUUGAACCCAGGAGGUGGAGGCUGCAGUGAGCCAAUCUUGAACCACUGCACUCCAGCUUGGGUGACAGAGCAAGACCCUGUCUCAAAAAAAAAAAAAAAACCUCAGGAAUGGCUAAGACACUAGGGAUGGGGGUUCCUGUUCCCAAAAUGGGGUCACUGUGGGAAGAUGGGGGCCGGGAGCCUCCAGCCCGGCUUAUCUUUCUGUUGCUCUGCAGUCGAGGUCUGUGUUCCCACUGGACUGAGCUCGGGGAGGGCUGCCUGUUGUUUGGGUUCACCCUUCAGUCGCUGGGCCCCAGCGCAAAGCUGGUCAAAGAAUACACGCUUGGGCAGGGCGCAGUGGCUCACGUCUGUAAUCCCAGCACCUUGGGAGGCUGAGGCAGGUGGAUCCCUUGAAGUCAGGAGUUUGAGACCUGCCUGGCCAACAUGGUAAAACCCUGUCUCUACUAAAAAUACAAAAUUAGCCGUGCGUGGUGGCACAUGCCUGUAAUCCCAGCUACUUGAGGGGGUGAGGGAGGAGAAUGGCUUGGAUCUGGGAAGCGGAGGUUGCAGUGAGCUGAGAUCGCGCUGCUGCACUCCAGCCCUGGUGACAGAGCAAGGCUCCAUCUCAAAAAAAAAAAAAAAAAAAAAAAAAAAAAGAAUAAGCACUUGACUCCUGUCCACAGAAUGGGUGAGAGUCGGAAUGGACAGGAGCAAGGGGAGGACAAAAUAACAUGAGGGGCUCAGCCCGAUGAUAACCAGUGGUGUUACUUUUGCAGGAAAAAAGAAUAAAAAUGUUCCAAGGUCAACCAAAAAGUCUGACGGUACCAAAUGUUGGUGAGGAGGUGGAGCAACUAAGAUCCUCAGUCACCACCGCUAGGAGGAUACACAGAUUUGACCACCUUGGGAGGCUGUGUGGCAGCGCCCACUAAAUCUGAAGCUACCCCACCCUCUGCCCUGGGCUACGCACUCCUGGGUAUAUUCCCUGAAGAAACGCAGGCACCGGCACCCCAGGAGAUGCUACAAAGAGAUGGCUCGCAUCAGCGCAGCAGGAGAUGGAGGAACAGAAUAUUAUAUGGGGCUGGGCACAGUGGCUCACGCCUGUAAUGCCGGCACUUUGGGAAGCUGAGGUGGG
rnacentral:lncRNA from 10 species